AGAGUUUGAUCAUGGCUCAGGACGAACGCUGGCGGCGUGCUUAACACAUGCAAGUCACGGGGGCUCGCAAGAGCAACCGGCGAACGGGUGCGUAACACGUGAGCAAUCUGCCGAUUUCUGGGGGAUAGCCGGCCCAACGGCCGGGUAAUACCGCAUACGUUCUCGAGGGGGAGUCCCCUUGGGAAGAAACCUCCGGGGGAAAUCGAGGAGCUCGCGGCCUAUCAGCUAGUUGGCGGUGUAAUGGACCACCAAGGCUAUGACGGGUAGCUGGUCUGAGAGGAUGGCCAGCCACAUUGGGACUGAGAGACGGCCCAGACUCCUACGGGAGGCAGCAGUGGGGAAUCUUGCGCAAUGGCCGAAAGGCUGACGCAGCGACGCCGCGUGUGGGAUGAAGCAUUUCGGUGUGUAAACCACUGUUGCCCGGGACGAACAUCCUCUUUCGAGAGGACUGACGGUACCGGGUGAGGAAGCACCGGCUAACUCCGUGCCAGCCGCCGCGGUAAUUC
rnacentral:rRNA from 1 species